AGAAGAUUAUUCCCAAAUGAAACCGUCCUUCGAACGAAAAGAACUUGUUUGUUCUUUUCAUUCGAAGGGCGGUUUCAUUUGGGAAUAAUCUUA
rnacentral:pre_miRNA from 1 species